rnacentral:rRNA from 1 species
AUUGAACGCUGGCGGCAGGCCUAACACAUGCAAGUCGAACGGUAACAGGGAUCAGCUUGCUGAUUCGCUGACGAGUGGCGGACGGGUGAGUAAUGUCUGGGAAACUGCCUGAUGGAGGGGGAUAACUACUGGAAACGGUAGCUAAUACCGCAUAACGUCGCAAGACCAAAGAGGGGGACCUUCGGGCCUCUUGCCAUCGGAUGUGCCCAGAUGGGAUUAGCUAGUAGGUGGGGUAACGGCUCACUUAGGCGACGAUCCCUAGCUGGUCUGAGAGGAUGACCAGCCACACUGGAACUGAGACACGGUCCAGACUCCUACGGGAGGCAGCAGUGGGGAAUAUUGCACAAUGGGCGCAAGCCUGAUGCAGCCAUGCCGCGUGUAUGAAGAAGGCCUUCGGGUUGUAAAGUACUUUCAGCGGGGAGGAAGGGAGUAAAGUUAAUACCUUUGCUCAUUGACGUUACCCGCAGAAGAAGCACCGGCUAACUCCGUG